AUCCAGCUGACGGGUCCCAAAUAGGAUGAAAUGCUCAUCCUAGAU
rnacentral:hammerhead_ribozyme from 1 species